ensembl:lincRNA D6Ertd474e DNA segment, Chr 6, ERATO Doi 474, expressed
AUACACUCAGUCUUCAGGAGGAGGCAUCCCCUCUGGGUGCAGAACUUCCGCUGUGGCUGCUUGCUCAGGAUAAACUGGUGGGACCAUGACUCAUUUUGUCACUGGGACCACAGGAGGAGGGGCCAGAAGACAAUGAAGUGUGCGGUGAGCACUCUCACAUUUCGUUAGAUGCACCGUCUCUGAACCAGCUUACUCAGAACUUCAGGAUGGCGGUGUGCAGUUACCAACUGUUAAGUCAAAGAUUCUGGACUGUUUAGGAUGCUUCACCGUGUGCUCCAUAAGCUACUCAUCUGAUGUUUCAUAGGAAGCAGAAGAAAUUCCCAGCAAAGUGACCUGUGUUGCAAGACUCAAAAGAGGGAGAGAGAGAGUUGGCUCAGCUGGUGAAGAGCUUGAUGGACAUGAAGACCUGAGCUUGGAUCUCCCAACAUCUUUGUGAAAGGACGGGCACAGCCCCUGAAUCUCCAGAGCUGUGACAAUGGAAGCAAUGGAUCCUCAGAGCUUGCUGGCCAGCCAACCUGCUUGAGUUCAGCUCUAGAUUCUGUGUGACCCUGACUCAAAAACUAAGGCGUGGAGUGACUGAAGAAGAGAUCUGAUGUCAACCACUUGUUCUUAUUUACACACACACACACACUCUUAAAUAAAAAUUAAAUUAUUUGUUGAAAAUGACAAAAAGAUGGACACCAUACAGUUAGAAG